rnacentral:tRNA from 1 species
GCCGCCGUAGCUCAGUGGUAGAGCGAUCGGCUGUUAACCGAAAGGUCAGCGGUUCGAAAGGUGGGCCCGACGUUCGAGCCCAUCCUGAAUCCCGCUCGGCGGCG